rnacentral:rRNA from 1 species
AAUGGGCGAAAGCCUGACGCAGCAAUACCGUGUGUGGGAAGACGCUCCGUGGAGUGUAAACCACUGUCAGAUGUGACGAAUUGACUGUAACAUCAGAGGAAGCACCGGCUAACUCCGUGCCAGCAGCCGCGGUAAUACGGAGGGUGCAAGCGUUGUCCGGAUUUAUUGGGCGUAAAGAGUUUGUAGGUUGCUUUGCAAGUCUGAGGCGAAAGAAUGGAGCUCAACUCCAUCCUCGCCCCGAAACUGUGAAGCUAGAGAGUACUAGGGGUGAAUGGAAUUUCCAGUGUAGCGGUGAAAUGCGUAGAUAUUGGAAAGAACACCAGAGGCGAAGGCGGUUCACUGGGUACUUCUGACACUGAGAAACGAAAGCUAGGGUAGCGAAAGGGAUU